rnacentral:lncRNA from 1 species
AUCAUCCUCAAUGGGAACCUAGGAAGAUGGUUUACCAACAAGAAAGGACUUAAACAAGAUAAUCCACUCUCCUCUCUCCUUUAUAUUUUGAUUGCUGAUAUCCUUCAUCGAAUGUUGGAGCAAGCAAUUGUAGAGAAUCUCUUAGAUCCAGUUAGAUCCAAACAUCUUCCAAGCAGCAUGCACUCCAUCCAAUAUGCAAAUGAUACUAUGAUC